AGAUAUCUACGUACAAAUGUACCAACAUAAACCUGGAGAACGUGCUGUUGAUUUGUGUGAAUUGUACAAUAGAUCAGGACAUUCUAUGACUAUUGGAGAGAUAUUUCCCCAUCCCGAUGUACCUCUCGUUGUUUCGUUUUGUCCUGUGUUGUUUUAUUGGUAAUGUUCUGGCCGUACAUAUCGAAUUCAAAGAUGAAGAAAAUCUUCCAAAUGUUUUCCAAGCACUUGUACAGAGACUGGAGGAACAUGAACGAAGAAUUCAGGCAUUGGAAAAUGUCGAUAGAGAGCUAAGACGAGAAAUACAUAAACUCAAUGUCGUUGCCCGGGAAAAGGACUCGUGCGUGUUGAGACUGAAGACUUUAUUGAUGAGACAAAAUGAAAGACUUCAUUCUUCGGGAAAUUUUGCUUUCAACGAACAACUUGAAAAGAAUGUCAGUAAUUUUUUGGAUCAUAUCGUUCAUUCACGAGAAAACAAUUUGAAAGAGUUAAGGAUUCCAGCAACAAAGGGGGAAAAUUGGUCCAAGACUGUCCAUUUCUUCUAAUACCGUUGAUGUGGUUGCAUUUUACGCCUACAUGAGCCAUGACGAGAUCGUGAAUAGCCCUCAUCACAUUCUUAUCUUCGAUCAUGUCAUAACGAACCAUGGGGGUUCCUACAUCCCUCAUAUCGGAACCUUUAUAGCACAUAAGCAUGGUUUCUACGUCUUUAGCUGGACAGUGGCGUGCGAGGCUGCACAUUAUGCAUACACGGAAAUUGUCAGAAAUUCGGAUAGCAUUGGUCAAAUUCUUACCGGUUACACUAGUAACAUCGGAUUGCAGAUGAGCACUGGAUUGAUCGUUACAGAACUCAAUGCAGAUUAUGUAGUCGACGUCAGAACACACUCAGUAAGGGGAGCUAUAGACCGAGUCGUCAGUAGAGAUUAUCUACGUACGUCGUUUGCGGGAUGGAAAUUGAAUUAAUGUGCUCAUUUAAGUCAUUGGGUUUAACGAAACAGAAUUAAACAUGAAGUGUAGCAAAUGAAAGAAUAUCAGGAAAUAAAAACAAAAUACUAUU